GAAGAAAGCGGGCGGCGUGCUUAACACAUGCAAGUCGAACGGAAAGGCCCUGCUUUUGUGGGGUGCUCGAGUGGCGAACGGGUGAGUAACACGUGAGUAACCUGCCCUUGACUUUGGGAUAACUUCAGGAAACUGGGGCUAAUACCGGAUAGGAGCUCCUGCUGCAUGGUGGGGGUUGGAAAGUUUCGGCGGUUGGGGAUGGACUCGCGGCUUAUCAGCUUGUUGGUGGGGUAGUGGCUUACCAAGGCUUUGACGGGUAGCCGGCCUGAGAGGGUGACCGGCCACAUUGGGACUGAGAUACGGCCCAGACUCCUACGGGGGGGGGGAGUGGGUAGGGUGGCGGGAUGUGCGGAAGCCUGAUGCAGCAACGCCGCGUGCGGGAUGACGGCCUUCGGGUUGUAAACCGCUUUCGCGUGUGACGAAGCGUGAGUGACGGUAAUGGGUAAAGAAGCACCGGCUAACUACGUG
rnacentral:rRNA from 1 species